rnacentral:rRNA from 1 species
UACGUAGGGUCCGAGCGUUGUCCGGAAUUACUGGGCGUAAAGGGUGCGCAGGCGGCUCUGCAAGUCGGGUGUGAAAUCCCCGAGCUUAACUUGGGAAUUGCGCUCGAAACUAUGGAGCUGGAGUGUGGCAGAGGAAGGUGGAAUUCCACGUGUAGCGGUGAAAUGCGUAGAGAUGUGGAGGAACACCGAUGGCGAAGGCAGCCUUCUGGGCCAACACUGACGCUCAUGCACGAAAGCGUGGGGAGCAAACAGG